UACGAAGGGGGCUAGCGUUGUUCGGAAUUACUGGGCGUAAAGCGUGCGCAGGCGGCUUCCCAAGUCAGUGGUGAAAGCCCGGAGCUCAACUCCGGAAUUGCCAUUGAAACUGUGGAGCUCGAGAACGAGAGAGGUGAGUGGAAUUCCCAGUGUAGAGGUGAAAUUCGUAGAUAUUGGGAAGAACACCAGUGGCGAAGGCGGCUCACUGGCCCGGUACUGACGCUGAGGUGCGAAAGCGUGGGGAGCAAACAGG
rnacentral:rRNA from 1 species